UGGGGAAUUUUGGACAAUGGGCGCAAGCCUGAUCCAGCCAUUCCGCGUGCAGGAUGAAGGCCCUCGGGUUGUAAACUGCUUUUGGACGGAACGAAAAGCGCUGAGUUAAUACCUCGGCGUCAUGACGGUACCGUCAGAAUAAGCACCGGCUAACUACGUGCCAGCAGCCGCGGUAAUACGUAGGGUGCAAGCGUUAAUCGGAAUUACUGGGCGUAAAGCGUGCGCAGGCGGUGAUGUAAGACAGGUGUGAAAUCCCCGGGCUUAACCUGGGAACUGCAUUUGUGACUGCAUCGCUGGAGUGCGGCAGAGGGGGAUGGAAUUCCGCGUGUAGCAGUGAAAUGCGUAGAUAUGCGGAGGAACACCGAUGGCGAAGGCAAUCCCCUGGGCCUGCACUGACGCUCAUGCACGAAAGCGUGGGGAGCAAACA
rnacentral:rRNA from 1 species